rnacentral:rRNA from 1 species
GACGAACGCUGGCGGCGUGCUUAACACAUGCAAGUCGAACGGAAAGGCCCUGCUUUUGUUGGUUGCGCGAGUGGCGAACGGGUGAGUAACACGUGAGUAACCUGCCCUUGACUUUGGGAUAACUUCAGGAAACUGGGGCUACUACCGGAUAGGAGCUCCUGCUGCAUGGUGGGGGUUGGAAAGUUUCGGCGGUUGGGGAUGGACUCGCGGCUUAUCAGCUUGUUGGUGGGGUAGUGGCUUACCAAGGCUUUGACGGGUAGCCGGCCUGGGGGUGUGACCGGCCACAUUGGGACUGAGAUACGGCCCAGACUCCUACGGGAGGCAGCAGUGGGGAUUAUUGCACAAUGGGCGGAAGCCGGAUGCAGCAACGCCGCGUGCGGGAUGACGGCCUUCGGGUUGUAAACCGCUUUCGCCUGGGACGAAGCGUGAGUGACGGUAAUGGGUAAAGAAGCACCGGCUAACUACGUG